GUCCUAUUUGUUGUGUGACUGAAACUUGAUCUGCAAACCAGGCUGAAGAAAUCAGCCGACCUUCUCCUCCCCGUUCCUUUUGGGCAUGGCUUUGUUGCAGCCCACUGCCACGAGGUGCAGCAGAUGAGCAGCCGGGGAGCUGUUUCUCCCCAGAGAAAGCACUUCACUGUCAGGCUCGGUUUUUGCUCUAGACUUUCACGCUCACCUGCUUUACUCCAGAAGCGGCAAGAUCCCAAGCUGUCAAGUGUCAAAUGAUGCUUUAUCCAGGACCCAAAUUUGAGAGGGAUGCAGCAGUUCAGCCAUGCGUUUGCCUGGGCUUUUUGGAUGAUCCAGCAGGCUAGAACAGGACGGUAGAGGAAGAUAGCCAGCAGAAGAAAGAAUCUCUGCCACAGCGUUGCAGGUCAGCAGCAAUGCAGGAAAGCCAGCCCAGCCUUCCUAGAUGCUGCUUGGGCUGGAGCAGUGGGAUAAGGAGGUGCCCAAGGGGGUCAGAGCCAAGCUGGAAGGAGCAGCCUGAGCAGGAGCUGGGAGCAGCACGGCAAUGGGCUGGAGGACUGGUGCCUGCCCAUGCUGCCGAGAAGGAAAUCCACCCACAGAGGCGACGUGGAGGUGCUGCCUCGGGAUGUAUUUAUGGUGCAGGCUCACUGGCUCGGCUCCACAAAAUUUGUAGUACAGGGAGGGCUGAUAAAAAGCAAUUCAGAGGAGCCCGGUCGGUGCGGAGACACAAUAUGCCAGUGCUGGCUGUAAGCAGCGAUGAGACGACCUCAGCAGUCCCGCGGUGGAAGGUCACUCUGCAUACUCCAUACACUUCAGCACUGUCUGUGCAAACAGUUGAGGACUCAGGAGGGAUUUGUUCCAUCUGA
rnacentral:lncRNA from 1 species